UAGGGAAUCUUCGGCAAUGGACGGAAGUCUGACGAGCAACGCCGCGUGAGUGAAGAAGGUUUUCGGAUCGUAAAGCUCUGUUGUUAGAGAAGAACGUUGGUAGGAGUGGAAAAUCUACCAAGUGACGGUAACUAACCAGAAAGGGACGGCUAACUACGUGCCAGCAGCCGCGGUAAUACGUAGGUCCCGAGCGUUGUCCGGAUUUAUUGGGCGUAAAGCGAGCGCAGGCGGUUCUUUAAGUCUGAAGUUAAAGGCAGUGGCUUAACCAUUGUACGCUUUGGAAACUGGAGGACUUGAGUGCAGAAGGGGAGAGUGGAAUUCCAUGUGUAACAGUGAAAUGCGUAGAUAUAUGGAGGAACACCGGUGGCGAAAGCGGCUCUCUGGUCUGUAACUGACGCUGAGGCUCGAAAGCGUGGGGAGCAAACAGG
rnacentral:rRNA from 1 species